CAAUUCCAUAUGUCACUUUAGUGCACUACCUAGUGCUCUAUAUGGCAAUAGUUUCAUUCUUUCGUUGUUUUUCAUUAUUUUCCUGUGGUACCAGCACUCAAGCGGCAAAGAAAAAAAUGCUUUUUGGAUGGAUAGUAAUGUCAUCAUCAGGAAUACUUGCAGACAGGAACCUGAUCAUGUACGCUGGCAGACACAAAGGGAUGCAAACAAAUCCAGGACAGACAGGAGUGCACAAUUCUUAGAAAUGGAAAACAGUUUACAAGAAUCGAAAGAAUCGAAAGUGUGGUGAGACAGCUGUCUCCAGCAUGCUGGUCCUGAAAAAGACUUCCUGAGGUCCUGCAUCAGUGCCACCCAUGACACUGUUCUCAAAGAGGAGUGUGUGGGGCUUCUAUCUGACUAGACCCUCCUUUCCCGCCUCCCUAACUAUUCAACUGAUGAUGGAGGAUCUUCUGGACUACAGCUGACACACAUGCACUGUUAUUCAUUGCAAUUGUGGAUUCUCUCAUCAAUUCUCAAAUGAGAAUUUUUCUAUCUGGUUCGUCUUGAUGCUCUAUUUGUGCUUGGAGCUUUCUGCACUUUUGACAUCUGCUGUUAUGGAUGGUCCCACAUGGAUACACUAACUAAAGAAUUCACCUUCUCGAAAACACUGGAUAUUUGAUUCAGUGAAUAAUCUCACCUGGAUACUGUAGACUUGCACCCAGUAUCCACUGUCACCCAGAUGAGGAUGGGUUCCCUUUUGAGUCUGGUUCUUCUCAUGGCUUCGACCUAAUGUCAUCUCAGCGAGUUUUUCCUCACCACUGUCACCUCUGGCUUGCUCAUUAGGGCUCUAAAUCUACAUCUGGAUUUCUGUAAAGCUGCUUUGUGACAACAUCUAUUGUUAAAAUGACUAUGCAUAUCAAUUUUACACACAAAUAAACUUUAAAUUGCACACAAAUACAAACUAUUCAUUUAUUAUUCUUAAAUGAAUAGAAAUAGAAUUCAGUAUUCGGAAUUUUUAGUAUUCAUUCGUACAUGCAAUGGUCCUGACCUAAAUUAUUACAAAUAAUGUCCAGCUGUGAGUAAAGCAAAGGUCAGAACACAUCUAAACUUGGUUUGUGAUUUGUCAUAUGAAAACCCCGCAGUCUGACCCUACUCAAAGCACUGGUUAACCACAGGUUUAACAUAUGGUGCUUUUGUGGUUGAAAAAAGCAAAAAUCAAACGAAGGAACAAAUGAGCAGGUACCAGAAUACACACAACAGAAAAGGAAAUCUUUUAAAUGAACUAAAAAAAAAAUAGAACUAUUGACUACCCAUAGUUAUUUCAUCAGGAAAGACCAUUCAUGAAAAGAUAUACACUAUGUAUUAUUACAUAUAUAUCAUAAACACAUACAUUCAUACACAUAUAUGUAUUAUAUAUAGUUAUUCAUUUACUUAGCAGACUUCACACCAAGCCAGAUCUGAAC